rnacentral:tRNA from 1 species
GCCUCGUUAGCGCAGUAGGCAGCGCGUCAGUCUCAUAAUCUGAUUUCGAAAUCUGAAGGUCGUGAGUUCGAUCCUCACACGGGGCA